rnacentral:rRNA from 1 species
GGGUUGUGAGGUUAAGCGACUAAGCGUACACGGUGGAUGCCUAGGCAGUCAGAGGCGAUGAAGGGCGUGCUAAUCUGCGAAAAGCGUCGGUAAGGUGAUAUGAACCGUUAUACCCGACGAUACCCGAAUGGGGAAACCCAGUGUGAUACGUCACACUAUUGCAUGGUGAAUACAUAGCCAUGCAAGGCGAACCGGGGGAACUGAAACAUCUAAGUACCCCGAGGAAAAGAAAUCAACCGAGAUUCCCCCAGUAGCGGCGAGCGAACGGGGAAGAGCCCAGAACCUGAAUCAGUUUGUGCAUUAGUGGAAGCGUCUGGAAGGUCGCACAGUAUAGGGUGAUAGUCCCGUACACAAAAAUGCACUUAUUGUGAGUUCGAUGAGUAGGGCGGGACACGUGACAUCCUGUCUGAAUAUGGGGGGACCAUCCUCCAAGGCUAAAUACUCCUGACUGACCGAUAGUGAACCAGUACCGUGAGGGAAAGGCGAAAAGAACCCCGGCGAGGGGAGUGAAAUAGAACCUGAAACCGUGUACGUACAAGCAGUGGGAGCCUACUUGUUAGGUGACUGCGUACCUUUUGUAUAAUGGGUCAGCGACUUAUAUUUUGUAGCAAGGUUAACCGAAUAGGGGAGCCGUAGGGAAACCGAGUCUUAACUGGGCGUCAAGUUGCAAGGUAUAGACCCGAAACCCGGUGAUCUAGCCAUGGGCAGGUUGAAGGUUGGGUAACACUAACUGGAGGACCGAACCGACUAAUGUUGAAAAAUUAGCGGAUGACUUGUGGCUGGGGGUGAAAGGCCAAUCAAACCGGGAGAUAGCUGGUUCUCCCCGAAAGCUAUUUAGGUAGCGCCUCGUGAACUCAUCUUCGGGGGUAGAGCACUGUUUCGACUAGGGGGCCAUCCCGGCUUACCAACUCGAUGCAAACUACGAAUACCGAAGAAUGUUAUCACGGGAGACACACGGCGGGUGCUAACGUCCGUCGUGAAGAGGGAAACAACCCAGACCGCCAGCUAAGGUCCCAAAGUCAUGGUUAAGUGGGAAACGAUGUGGGAAGGCAUAGACAGCCAGGAUGUUGGCUUAGAAGCAGCCAUCAUUUAAAGAAAGCGUAAUAGCUCACUGGUCGAGUCGGCCUGCGCGGAAGAUGUAACGGGGCUAAACCAUGCACCGAAGCUGCGGCAGCGACGCUUAGGCGUUGUUGGGUAGGGGAGCGUUCUGUAAGCCGU